GCCGCCCGCAUCCCGCAUCCGCGUCGCAACCCGCAACCGCCUGCAGCCGCGGCUUCCAUCUUCCGCCCUCCUUCCAUCCUCCUGCAAUCGCCAGCGCGCCCUCCGCGCUCCUGCCAUCCGAGGAAAGCCUUCCAUCCAUGGCGCCGUUGCUGCAAUUCUCCCCGCGAUCCGCUCUCCCUCCAUUGCCCCCGCGAUCCGCGCUCCCUCCAUUGCCCCCGCGCUCCUGCCAUCCAUGGCGCCUCCCCACGGAUCUCUGCUGUCAAUUUUACGGAGAAAUCACGCCUCCCUAGGGUGCCCUUCCAUCCAUGGCGUCGUUGCUGCAAGUGCCCCGCAAUCAACUCCAUUGCCACUGUGAUCCCCUUCCACCGAUGGCACUCACCUUCCAUCGACAAAACUGCUCUUCCUCCAUUCCACCGAUGGCACUCACCCUAAACCCUCACCUCUUAGAUCCCGUGCUCAUCACCAUCCUGCCCCUCGCUCGCCGCCCCACCUCACCAAGAGCCUUAGCCGUCCCUAGAGAAGACACGGAGGUGCAGUGCAGUGCAGUGCUUUACUCAAGUGCGCCACGGAUUUUCGGUACCGGCCAGAUUGGGACGAAUUCGACAUUCAUCGGCUCCACCAAAGUUUCGUCUUCUACCUUUCACCGCUGCCAACUUCGCGGUGUAUUAAACGGUGUGAGUUGAUUUUCACCUCUUUUCCACAGACUCAGUAAGCUCUUAUCUGAUCUAAUGGAUGGGAGUCGUAUCUUGAUAGUCUUCCAAACAAAAAAGGAUUGCGAUAAGAUCACCCGACAACUUAGAAUGGAUGGGUGGCUAGCAUUAUCUAUACAUGGUGAUAAAGCUCAAGUUGAACGGGACUAUAUUCUUGUAGAGUUUAGAGCGGCAAGAGCUCCAUAAUGGCUGCCACAGAUGUGGCAGCACGUGGUCUUGGUAUGAUGAUUUAUUUGAAUAUUAGGAUUAGGUAGUAGUUCCAAGUGCUCAAGGAUGAUAAGUCGGAGGGUUGUUGAACUGCGAUUGGUUGAGUGAGCUGAACUUGUGGAUUGGUGGUGUAUACCAAGGUGCCAUCAUGUCAAAGAACAAGGCGAUGGCCCAAUUGUAUUAAUUCCCGCUCCCACAAGAGAAUUGGCUGUUCAAAUACAGGAAGAAUCUACAAAAUUUGGAUCAUAUUCAAGAACUAGAAGCACAUGUGUCUAUGGUGGUGCACCUAAGGGUCCACAAAUACGGGGCCUUAGAAGAGGAGUUGAAAUUGUCAUUGCAACUCCUGGCCGGUUGAUUGAUAUGCUGGAAGCUGGUCACACAAACCUACGUAGAGUGACGUACCUUGUGUUGGAUGAGGCGGACCAGAUGCUAGAUAUGGGGUUUGAGCCCCAAAUUCAAAAUAGUAUCACAAGUACAUUUUCGUUUAGAAAUGCAUAGUUAUGGUUUUACUGAUGUAUCAAAUUUCCAUAAAAAUGGCCUUGUAGUUCAUGAACUUUAUUAAUUUUGUUUAGUGAUAAUGUGGUGGUGGUGUUUUAAUCGGGAGAGCACUAGCUCAAGAAGCCACAACAACCCAAGAUCAUUCCUGGCGCUCUCCAUACAUCUACUACUGCUAGGAAUCUCAAGAAGCUUGCGGCCCAGAGCCAAACGGAUGAUGAAGAUGUUUGGUGGGAGUAGGCUGAGGAGCAUUUUCCAUGGUAUUUCAGAUGGAUUCAAAAUAGAGGGGUGACAUGCUUUUGGACCAAUGGAUAUGAUGUUGUGUCUGCUUUGGAUUCAAACAACUACACAAUCAUCUAUUUUGAUUCAAACAGAGGGGUGACAUCUGUAAAUCCAUUAUAUUAAAGCCACUAUGAUUGAUUGUUUGAUCAGAGUAUUUUACAAGAGCUGCUUCCU